rnacentral:rRNA from 1 species
UGGGGAAUAUUGCACAAUGGGCGAAAGCCUGAUGCGCGACGCCGCGUGAGGGAUGACGGGCCUUCGGGCUUGGUAAAACCUCUUUUCAGCAGGGAAGAAGCGAAAGUGACGGUACCUGCAGAAGAAGCGCCGGCUAACUACGUGCCAGCAGCCGCGGUAAUACGUAGGGCGCAAGCGUUGUCCAGAAUUAUUGGGCGUAAAGAGCUCGUAGGCGGUUAGUCGCGUCUGCUGUGAAAACUCGAGGCUCAACCUCGGGCUUGCAGUGGGUACGGGCUGACUAGAGUGCGGUAGGGGUGACUGGAAUUCCUGGUGUAGCGGUGGAAUGCGCAGAUAUCAGGAGGAACACCGAUGGCGAAGGCAGGUCACUGGGCCGCAACUGACGCUGAGGAGCGAAAGCAUGGGGAGCGAACAGGAUUAGAUACCCUGGUAGUCCAUGCCGUAAACGUUGGGCACUAGGUGUGGGGUCCA